UCGAACGAACUCUGGUAUUGAUUGGUGCUUGCAUCAUGAUUUACAUUUGAGUGAGUGGCGAACUGGUGAGUAACACGUGGGAAACCUGCCCAGAAGCGGGGGAUAACACCUGGAAACAGAUGCUAAUACCGCAUAACAACUUGGACCGCAUGGUCCGAGCUUGAAAGAUGGCUUCGGCUAUCACUUUUGGAUGGUCCCGCGGCGUAUUAGCUAGAUGGUGGGGUAACGGCUCACCAUGGCAAUGAUACGUAGCCGACCUGAGAGGGUAAUCGGCCACAUUGGGACUGAGACACGGCCCAAACUCCUACGGGAGGCAGCAGUAGGGAAUCUUCCACAAUGGACGAAAGUCUGAUGGAGCAACGCCGCGUGAGUGAAGAAGGGUUUCGGCUCGUAAAACUCUGUUGUUAAAGAAGAACAUAUCUGAGAGUAACUGUUCAGGUAUUGACGGUAUUUAACCAGAAAGCCACGGCUAACUACGUGCCAGCCGCCGCGGUAA
rnacentral:rRNA from 2 species